UGCGGGGUGGUAGCAGAGGCAGCUCGCUUGGCUCAUAACCAAGAGGUCGCAGGUUCGAGUCCUGCCCCCGCAACCA
rnacentral:tRNA from 1 species